rnacentral:rRNA from 1 species
AGUGAACGCUGGCGGUAGGCCUAACACAUGCAAGUCGAACGGCAGCACAGUAAGAGCUUGCUCUUACGGGUGGCGAGUGGCGGACGGGUGAGGAAUACAUCGGAAUCUACUUUUUCGUGGGGGAUAACGUAGGGAAACUUACGCUAAUACCGCAUGCGACCUACGGGUGAAAGCAGGGGAUCUUCGGACCUUGCGCGAUUGAAUGAGCCGAUGUCGGAUUAGCUAGUUGGCGGGGUAAAGGCCCACCAAGGCGACGAUCUGUAGCUGGUCUGAGAGGAUGAUCAGCCACACUGGAACUGAGACACGGUCCAGACUCCUACGGGAGGCAGCAGUGGGGAAUAUUGGACAAUGGGCGCAAGCCUGAUCCAGCCAUACCGCGUGGGUGAAGAAGGCCUUCGGGUUGUAAAGCCCUUUUGUUGGGAAAGAAAAGCAGCAGGUUAAUACCCCGCUGUUCUGACGGUACCCAAAGAAUAAGCACCGGCUAACUUCGUG